CCUAUAUAGAGCACUACAUUAGACCAGAGCCCUAUUCCCUAUAUAGUGCACUACAUUAGACCAGAGUCCUAUUCCCUAUAUAGAGCACUACAUUAGACCAGAGCCCUACUCCCUAUAUAGUGCACUACAUUAGACCAGAGCCCUACUCCCUAUAUAGAGCACUACAUUAGACCAGAGCCCUACUCCCUAUAUAGUGCACGACAUUAGACCAGAGCCCUACUCCCUGUAAGUCGCUUUGGAUAAAAGCGUCUGCUAAAUGGCAUAUAUUAUUAUAUUAUUAUUAUUAGUGCACUACAUUAGACCAGAGCCCUACUCCCUAUAUAGAACACUACAUUAGACCAGAGCCCUACUCCCUAUAUAGUGCACUACAUUAGACCAGAGCUCUACUCCCUAUAUAGUGCACGACUUUAGACCAGAGCCCUACUCCCUAUAUAGUGCACUACAUUAGACCAGAGCCCUACUCCCUAUAUAGUGCACGACAUUAGACCAGAGCCCUACUCCCUAUAUAGAACCUACAUUAGACCAGAGCCCUACUCCCUAUAUAGUGCACUACAUUAGACCAGAGCCCUACUCCCUAUAUAGUGCACAACAUUAGACCAGAGCCCUACUCCCUAUAUAGAACCUACUUUAGACCAGAGCCCUACUCCCUAUAUAGUGCACUACAUUAGACCAGAGCCCUACUCCCUAUAUAGUGCACUACAUUAGACCAGAGCCCUACUCCCUAUAUAGUGCACUACAUUAGACCAGAGCCCUACUCCCUAUAUAGUGCACGACAUUAGACCAGAGCCCUACUCCCUAUAUAGAACCUACAUUAGACCAGAGCCCUACUCCCUAUAUAGUGCACUACAUUAGACCAGAGCCCUACACCCUAUAUAGAACACUACAUUAGACCAGAGCCCUACUCCCUAUAUAGAGCACUACAUUAGACCAGAGCCCUACUCCCUAUAUAGUGCACUACAUUAGACCAGAGCCCUAUUCCCUACAUAGUGCACUACAUUAGACCAGAGCCCUACUCCCUAUAUAUAGCACUACAUUAGACCAGAGCCCUACUCCCUAUAUAGUGCACUACAUUAGACCAGAGCCCUACUCCCUAUAUAGAGCACUACAUUAGACCAGAGCCCUACUCCCUAUAUAGAGCACUACAUUAGACCAGAGCCCUACUCCCUAUAUAUAGAGCACUACAUUAGACCAGAGCCCUACUCCCUAUAUAGUGCACUACAUUAGACCAGAGCCCUACUCCCUAUAUAGUGCACUACAUUAGACCAGAGCCCUACUCCCUAUAUAGUGCACUACAUUAGACCAGAGCCCUAUUCCCUAUAUAGAGCACUACAUUAGACCAGAGCCCUACUCCCUAUAUAGAGCACUACAUUAGACCAGAGCCCUACUCCCUAUAUAGAGCACUACAUUAGACCAGAGCCCUACUCCAUAUAUAGAGCACUACAUUAGACCAGAGCCCUACUCCCUAUAUAGAACACUACAUUAGACCAGAGCCCUACUCCCUAUAUAGAACACUACAUUAGACCAGAGCCCUACUCCCUAUAUAGUGCACUACAUUAGACCAGAGCCCUACUCCCUAUAUAGAGCACUACAUUAGACCAGAGCCCUACUCCCUAUAUAGUGCACUACAUUAGACCAGAGCCCUACUCCCUAUAUAGUGCACUACAUUAGACCAGAGCCCUAUUCCCUACAUAGUGCACUACAUUAGACCAGAGCCCUACUCCCUAUAUAGAGCACUACAUUAGACCAGAGCCCUACUCCCUAUAUAGAGCACUACAUUAGACCAGAGCCCUACUCCCUAUAUAGUGCACUACAUUAGACCAGAGCCCUACUCCCUAUAUAGAGCACUACAUUAGACCAGAGCCCUACUCCCUAUAUAGAACCUACAUUAGACCAGAGCCGAUAGGGUCUGUUGUGAAUAUAGGGUGUCAUUUGGGACGUUGCCUACCUGUAAGCCAGCAUGCUCCGGUUUCCUUGGUUUCCUGAUUUCCUGGUUCCAAUUCCGUCAGAAGGAGAAGAAACGAUGUGACUGCAAGAGAAUCAAUUGGUCAAGAAAGAAGCACUUAUAAAUUAUGAUAUUUUGUUUUCUUCUCAACUUUUUCUUUACUUUGAUGAACUUUUAAAAACAGAAUAUAGCUAUGCAGCAACAUUGGCUUCACUUGCUUCCACUAUAAAUGCUGUUCUACAUAAAUCAUUGUAUAAUUGUACGUAUGGCUGUUAUAUUGUUUUCUUCAACAAAAAAAAAAGAUUUCAAUCAUCUAGUGACCAUGGUAACGACUGGUCUAAAAAACAUUAAGAGAAAAGACCGGACUGAUGAAGCAGGAGCAGUGGGUCUUUAAGACUGGGUUAGAUGCUCAUUGGUUUCCAGUAAUGUUUAUGCAUAGUACAUUCAGUAAUGUUAUAUUUUUAUUAUUUAACUAGGCAAGUCGGUUUCAGAACAAAUUCUUAUUUACAUUGACCGCCUACGCCGGGCCAAACCCGGACGACGCCGGGCCAAACCCGGACGACGCCGGGCCAAACCCACACGACGCCGGGCCAAACCCGGACAACGCCGGGCCAAACCCGGACGACGCCGGGCCAAACCCGGACGACGCCGGGCCAAUUGUGCGCCGCUCUAUGGGACUCCCCGAUCACAGCCGGAUAUGAUACAGGCUGGAUUCGAACCAGGGACUGUAGUGCACUGAGAUGCAGUGCCUUAAACCACUGCGUCACUCGGGAGCCCCCGUUUAUGCUUUAGUACAUUCAAUAAUGUUUAAGUAUUUGUUUUUACAUCAAUCUGUAUAUCCUACGUUUUUCCAUCACAUUUUUAAAUGUCCGAUAGGCUUUAGCGUUGAAGUUUAAACCAUUGUUAAAUGUCCGAUAGGCUUUAGCGUUGAAGUUUAAACCAUUGUUUAGCGUUGAAGUUUAAACCAUUGUUAAAUGUCCGAUAGGCUUUAGCGUUGAAGUUUAAACCAUUGUUAAAUGUCCGAUAGGCUUUAGCGUUGAAGUUUAAACCAUUGUUAAAUGUCCGAUAGGCUUUAGCGUUGAAGUUUAAACCAUUGUUAAAUGUCCGAUAGGCUUUAGCGUUGAAGUUUAAACCAUUGUUAAAUGUCCGAUAGGCUUUAGCGUUGAAGUUUAAACCAUUGUUAAAUGUCCGAUAGGCUUUAGCGUUGAAGUUUAAACCAUUGUUAAAUGUCCGAUAGGCUUUAGCGUUGAAGUUUAAACCAUUGUUAAAUGUCCGAUAGGCUUUAGCGUUGAAGUUUAAACCAUUGUUAAAUGUCCGAUAGGCUUUAGCGUUGAAGUUUAAACCAUCGUUAAAUGUCCGAUAGGCUUUAGCGUUGAAGUUUAAACCAUUUUUAAUUGUGUUGUAUUCUUUGCAGCGGUUACCUCUGUUGUUAUUAUGACAUUGUAAACAGUGCACUUAUUAUUAUCAUUAGUAGUAGCUGUCCUGCUCUCUGUCACAUGUCUCUAAAUGAGACAGCUGUCGAUAAGGACGUGAUAAGGACAUGAGGUAUCUGCAGCUCUCUACCAGGACAUGAGGUAUCUGCAGUUCUCUACAAGGACAUUGGCGAUAUCUGCAGUUCUCUACAAGGACAUUGGCGAUAUCUGCAGCUGUCUACAAGGACAUGAGGUAUCUGCAGUUCUCUACAAGGACAUGAGGUAUCUGCAGCUGUCUACAAGGACAUGAGGUAUCUGCAGCUGUCUACAAGGACAUGAGGUAUCUGCAGCUGUCUACAAGGACAUGAGGUAUCUGCAGCUGUCUACAAGGACAUGAGGUAUCUGCAGCUGUCUACAAGGACAUGAGGUAUCUGCAGUUCUCUACAAGGACAUGAGGUAUCUGCAGCUGUCUAUAAGGACAUGAGGUAUCUGCAGCUGUCUACCAGGACAUGAGGUAUCUGCAGCUGUCUACCAGGACAUGAGGUAUCUGCAGCUGUCUAUAAGGACAUGAGGUAUCUGCAGCUGUCUACAAGGACAUGAGGUAUCUGCAGCUGUCUACCAGGACAUGAGGUAUCUGCAGCUGUCUACAAGGACAUGAGGUAUCUGCAGCUGUCUACAAGGACAUGGGAUUUUGUUCUGUUACGAAAAGAAAUUUGCGACAGGUUAACGUUAGUCUACUCCGACUGACCGUUGAACUCCUCUACAGAAGACACUCGUCAUUAUUCUAAACCCUUCACUGUUCUCUCUACCCAGUCAGUCCCCUGCCUAGCUUAAUAAACCAGACCAAUUAUUGGUAUACAGUCUGAAUCAAAGCACUGCUCGUUUCCUUACGAGCCAGAAUGUUGAAUAAAAUGACAUUUGAACUUCCGUUACCAGUUGUCUGUCCGGUUAGUCCUUCAUCAGCUGGUUGAAAUAUCCACAGUAGUAGUAUUUAACAGACGUUUUUAGAGAGCUGGUAACGCUUGUCACCUGACGCAUGCACAGAACCAUGUAGACACCGGCAAUACUUCAAAUCAAAUCAAAUCAAAUUUUAUUUGUCACAUACACAUGGUCAGCAGAUGUUAAUGCGAGUGUAGCGAAAUGCUUGUGCUUCUAGUUCCGACAAUGCAGUGAUAAGCAACAAGUAAUCUAACUAACAAUUCCAAAACUACUGUCUUAUACACAGUGUAAGGGGAUAAAGAAUAUGUACAUAAGGAUAUAUGAAUGAGUGAUGGUAAUCUAACUAACAAUUGGGACAGUACGUGUCGCCUGGCGGUACUUCACGUGCCUCUGGGUCAUGAGCAAAAAGAAAAGGAUUUUGCCACACACACAGAGAUGUGCAUUUUUAACUCUGUUUAAUAAUAAACUGCAUUGUUGGAAAAGGACCUGUCAGUCAUCCUUUCACUGUUAGUCUACACCUGUCGUCUACAGAAGUAUGUGACUAUUAACAUUGGAUUGAUUUGAUAACUUGUCUUAAAUUUCAACCAGCUGAAGGACCAACCCUAUGGACAAUCGGCAGAGUAAGUUCAAAUAUAAUUGUAUUAAACAUUCGUGACUGGCAUGGGAUGUUUAGGGUUUUUUUCUUAUGUAAAUGUGCGUAGCUAUGCUGUACAUAGACAGUCCUCUACUCUAUUCACCAUGCUCUAGUCUAGACUACUGGAGGGGGGUUAACAGACAGUCAGUCCUCUACUCUAUAUUCACCAUGCUCUAGUCUAGACUACUGGAGGACGGUUAACAGACAGUCAGUCCUCUACUCUAUAUUCACCAUGCUCUAGUCUAGACUCCUGGAGGAGGGUUAACAGACAGUCAGUCCUCUACUCUAUAUUCACCAUGCUCUAGUCUAGACUACUGGAGGAGGGUUAACAGACAGUCAGUCCUCUACUCUAUAUUCACCAUGCUCUAGUCUAGUCUACUGGAGGAGGGAUAACAGUCAGUCCUCUACUCUAUAUUCUCCAUGCUCUAGUCUAGACUACUGGAGGAGGGUUAACAGACAGUCAGUCCUCUACACUAUAUUCACCAUGCUCUAGUCUAGACUCCUGGAGGAGGGUUAACAGACAGUCCUCUACUCUAUAUUCACCAUGCUCUAGUCUAGACUACUGGAGGAGGGUUAAGAGACAGUCAGUCCUCUACUCUAUAUUCACCAUGCUCUAGUCUAGACUACUGGAGGGGGGUUAACAGACAGUCAGUCCUCUACUCUAUAUUCACCAUGCUCUAGUCUAGACUCCUGGAGGAGGGUUAACAGACAGUCAGUCCUCUACACUAUAUUCACCAUGCUCUAGUCUAGACUACUGGAGGAGGGUUAACAGACAGUCAGUCCUCUAUACUAUAUUCACCAUGCUCUAGUCUAGACUCCUGGAGGAGGGUUAACAGACAGUCAGUCCUCUACACUAUAUUCACCAUGCUCUAGUCUAGACUACUGGAGGAGGGUUAACAGACAGUCAGUCCUCUAUACUAUAUUCACCAUGCUCUAGUCUAGACUCCUGGAGGAGGGUUAACAGACAGUCAGUCCUCUACACUAUAUUCACCAUGCUCUAGUCUAGACUACUGGAGGAGGGUUAACAGACAGUCAGUCCUCUACACUAUAUUCACCAUGCUCUAGUCUAGACUCCUGGAGGAGGGUUAACAGACAGUCAGUCCUCUACACUAUAUUCACCAUGCUCUAGUCUAGUCUAGACUACUGGAGGAGGGUUAACAGACAGUCAGUCCUCUACUCUAUAUUCACCAUGCUCUAGUCUUGUCUAGACUACUGGAGGAGGGUUAACAGACAGUCAGUCCUCUACACUAUAUUCACCAUGAUCUAGUCUAGACUACUGGAGGAGGGUUAACAGACAGUCCUCUACUCUAUAUUCACCAUGCUCUAGUCUAGACUCCUGGAGGGGGGUUAACAGACAGUCAGUCCUCUACACUAUAUUCACCAUGCUCUAGUCUAGACUCCUGGAGGGGGGUUAACAGACAGUCAGUCCUCUACACUAUAUUCACCAUGAUCUAGUCUAGACUCCUGGAGGGGGGUUAACAGACAGUCAGUCCUCUACACUAUAUUCACCAUGCUCUAGUCUAGACUCCUGGAGGAAGGUUAACAGACAGUCAGUCCUCUACACUAUAUUCACCAUGAUCUAGUCUAGACUACUGGAGGAGGGUUAACAGACAGUCCUCUACUCUAUAUUCACCAUGCUCUAGUCUAGACUCCUGGAGGGGGGUUAACAGACAGUCAGUCCUCUACACUAUAUUCACCAUGCUCUAGUCUAGACUCCUGGAGGGGGGUUAACAGACAGUCAGUCCUCUACACUAUAUUCACCAUGCUCUAGUCUAGACUCCUGGAGGAGGGUUAACAGACAGUCAGUCCUCUACUCUAUAUUCACCAUGCUCUAGUCUAGACUCCUGGAGGAGGGUUAACAGACAGUCAGUCCUCUACUCUAUAUUCACCAUGCUCUAGUCUAGACUACUGGAGGAGGGUUAACAGACAGUCAGUCCUCUACUCUAUAUUCACCAUGCUCUAGUCUAGUCUAGACUACUGGAGGAGGGUUAACAGACAGUCAGUCCUCUACUCUAUAUUCACCAUGCUCUAGUCUAGAAUCCUGGGGGAGGGUUAACAGACAGUCCUCUACUCUAUAUUCACCAUGCUCUAGUCUUGUCUAGACUACUGGAGGAGGGUUAACAGAAAGUCAGUCCUCUACACUAUAUUCACCAUGCUCUAGUCUAGACUACUGGAGGAGGGUUAACAGACAGUCAGUCCUCUACUCUAUAUUCACCAUGCUCUAGUCUAGACUCCUGGAGGAGGGUUAACAGACAGUCAGUCCUCUACACUAUAUUCACCAUGCUCUAGUCUAGACUCCUGGAGGAGGGUUAACAGACAGACAGUCCUCUACACUAUAUUCACCAUGCUCUAGUCUAGACUCCUGGAGGAGGGUUAACAGACAGUCAGUCCUCUACUCUAUAUUCACCAUGCUCUAGUCUAGACUACUGGAGGAGGGUUAACAGACAGACAGUCCUCUACUCUAUUCACCAUGCUCUAGUCUAGUCUAGACUACUGGAGGAGGGUUAACAGACAGUCCUCUACUCUAUAUUCACCAUGCUCUAGUCUAGACUCCUGGAGGAGGGUUAACAGACAGUCAGUCCUCUACUCUAUAUUCACCAUGCUCUAGUCUAGACUACCGGAGGAGGGUUAACAGACAGACAGUCCUCUACUCUAUAUUCACCAUGCUCUAGUCUAGACUCCUGGAGGAGGGUUAACAGACAGUCAGUCCUCUACUCUAUAUUCACCAUGCUCUAGACUCCUGGAGGAGGGUUAACAGACAGUCCUCUACUCUAUAUUCGCCAUGCUCUAGUCUAGACUCCUGGAGGAGGGUUAACAGACAGUCAGUCCUCUACUCUAUAUUCACCAUGCUCUAGUCGAGUCUAGACUACUGGAGGAGGGUUAACAGACAGUCAGUCCUCUACUCUAUAUUCACCAUGCUCUAGUCUAGACUACUGGAGGAGGGUUAACAGACAGUCAGUCCUCUACUCUAUAUUCACCAUGCUCUAGUCUAGACUACUGGAGGAGGGUUAACAGACAGUCAGUCCUCUACUCUAUAUUCACCAUGCUCUAGUCUAGUCUAGACUACUGGAGGAGGGUUAACAGACAGUCAGUCCUCUACUCUAUAUUCACCAUGCUCUAGUCUAGACUACUGGAGGAGGGUUAACAGACAGUCCUCUACUCUAUAUUCACCAUGCUCUAGUCUAGACUACUGGAGGAGGGUUAACAGACAGUCAGUCCUCUACACUAUAUUCACCAUGCUCUAGUCUCGUCUAGACUCCUGGAGGAGGGUUAACAGACAGUCAGUCCUCUACUCUAUAUUCACCAUGCUCUAGUCUAGACUCCUGGAGGAUGGUUAAUAGACCAAUUGGACAUGUUAGUUGACUAGUGGGUUGGGUAACAUCAUUCUAUCCCACAUUCCAUUUCAGUUGUGCUAUGAACAGAACUGUAAAUUACUACUAAUUUAUAGCUACGUAAACCUACAUGGAACCCACCCACAUACCUGGAACUUAUAACAUGUAAACUACCCUACAAUAAACUGUUAACUUUUUGGAAAGUUUGUCAAUCUACAUAUUGUUACAUCUGUUUUUGGUUUGGAGAGGAGAGAGUUCUCUGAAUGUUCUAUACAAAUGUUAAGGUAAACAUUCUCCACUUUUUGAUGCGUCAGGAUUCUCUUCUCUUGAUGUGUCAGGGUUCUCUUCUCUUGAUGUGUCAGGAUUCUCUUCUCUUGACGUGUCACGGGUCUCUUCUCUUGAUGUGUCAGGAUUCUCUUCUCUUGAUGGGUCAGGAUUCUCUUCUCUUGAUGGGUCAGGAUUCUCUUCUCUUGAUGGGUCAGGAUUCUCUUCUCUUGACGUGUCAGGGUUCUUUAUUAUCUUGAUGUGUCAGGGUUCUCUUCUCUUGACGUGUCAGGGUUCUUUAUUAUCUUGAUGUGUCAGGGUUCUCUUCUCUUGAUGUGUCAGGGGUCUCUUCUCUUGAUGUGUCAGGGUUCUCUUCUCUUGAUGUGUCAGGGUUCUUUAUUAUCUUGAUGUGUCAGGGUUCUCUUCUCUUGAUGUGUCAGGGUUCUCUUCUCUUGAUGUGUCAGGGGUCUCUUCUCUUGAUGUGUCAGGAUUCUCUUCUCUUGAUGUGUCAGGGUUCUCUUCUCUUGACGUGUCAGGGUUCUCUUCUCUUGAUGUGUCAGGGUUCUCUUCUCUUGAUGUGUCAGGGUUCUCUUCUCUUGAUGUGUCAGGGUUCUUUAUUAUCUUGAUGUGUCAGGAUUCUCUUCUCUUGAUGUGUCAGGGUUCUCUUCUCUUGAUGUGUCAGGGUUCUCUUCUCUUGAUGUGUCAGGGUUCUCUUCUCUUGAUGUGUCAGGGUUCUCUUCUCUUGACGUGUCAGGGGUCUCUUCUCUUGACGUGUCAGGGGUCUCUUCUCUUGAUGUGUCAGGGUUCUCUUCUCUUGACGUGUCAGGGUUCUCUUCUCUUGAUGUGUCAGGAUUCUCUUCUCUUGACGUGUCAGGGUUCUCUUCUCUUGAUGUGUCAGGAUUCUCUUCUCUUGACGUGUCAGGGUUCUCUUCUCUUGAUGUGUCAGUGUUCUCUUCUCUUGAUGUGUCAGGGUUCUCUUCUCUUGAUGUGUCAGGGUUCUCUUCUCUUGAUGUGUCAGGAUUCUCUUCUCUUGACGUGUCAGGGUUCUCUUCUCUUGAUGUGUCAGGGUUCUCUUCUCUUGAUGUGUCAGGGUUCUCUUCUCUUGAUGUGUCAGGAUUCUCUUCUCUUGACGUGUCAGGGUUCUCUUCUCUUGACGUGUCAGGGGUCUCUUCUCUUGAUGUGUCAGGGGUCUCUUCUCUUGAUGUGUCAGGGUUCUCUUCUCUUGAUGUGUCAGGGGUCUCUUCUCUUGAUGGGUCAGGGUUCUCUUCUCUUGAUGUGUCAGGGUUCUCUUCUCUUGACGUGUCAGGGGUCUCUUCUCUCGAUGUGUCAGGCUUCUCUUCUCUUGAAGAUUGAUGUUGGAGACGAAAACUAAAGCCAAAACCCAAUUAUUAUCAUCUUUCACGUUUUUUUAAUAUAUAUUUUUUUACAUUUUCAACAAUACUCUGAUGUAAAAUCAAUCAAAAUGUUUCUCUUCUGUUGACAUUUGUGAGCCCCUGUUUCUCCUCGUCUGGUAUAUAGCUGUCUAACUCACAUGGUUCUAUUCCAUUGAGGACUACCCCCACAGUGGGCCGCAAGUGUUUUAUGUUAGCGUCAACGUCUAGUGCUAUUGUGUUUCCAGCACUGGGGUAAAUCCUCAUUGGAAAUGCGACCUUAAUGUGCGUAUGUGUUGUAGGCUCACCUCUUUGGUGUAAGUCAUUGUGUGUAUAUAUAGAUAGUGCAGUUACCUAGAUAUACUAUACAUACUGAAACAUACAGUGGCUUCAGAAAAAAAUCAUACCCCUUGACUUAUUCCACAUUUUGUUUUGCAGUCUGAAUUCAAAAUGGAUGAAAUAUUAAUUUAAUAAUAUUUAUUAAAUAUUCACCAAUCGACACAGUGACAAAGUGAAAACAUGUUUUUUGACAUUUUUGCAAAUACUGACUAGAAUACUUUGUAGAAACAGCAAUUACAGCGGUGAGUCUUUCUGGGUAAAUCUCUAAGAGCUGUGAGUCUUUCUGGGUAAAUCUCUAAGAGCUGUGAGUCUUUCUGGGUAAAUCUCUAAGAGCUGUGAGUCUUUCUGGGUAAAUCUCUAAGAGCUGUGAGUCUUUCUGGGUAAAUCUCUAAGAGCUGUGAGUCUUUCUGGGUAAAUCUCUAAGAGUUGUGAGUCUUUCUGGGUAAAUCUCUAAGAGCUGUGAGUCUUUCUGGGUAAAUCUCUAAGAGCUGUGAGUCUUUCUGGGUAAAUCUCUAAGAGUUGUGAGUCUUUCUGGGUAAAUCUCUAAGAGCUGUGAGUCUUUCUGGGUAAAUCUCUAAGAGCUUUGAGUCUUUCUGGGUAAAUCUCUAAGAGCUGUGAGUCUUUCUGGGUAAAUCUCUAAGAGCUUUGAGUCUUUCUGGGUAAAUCUCUAAGAGCUUUGAGUCUUUCUGGGUAAAUCUCUAAGAGCUGUGAGUCUUUCUGGGUAAAUCUCUAAGAGUUGUGAGUCUUUCUGGGUAAAUCUCUAAGAGUUGUGAGUCUUUCUGGGUAAAUCUCUAAGAGCUGUGAGUCUUUCUGGGUAAAUCUCUAAGAGCUUUGAGUCUUUCUGGGUAAAUCUCUAAGAGCUGUGAGUCUUUCUGGGUAAAUCUCUAAGAGCUGUGAGUCUUUCUGGGUAAAUCUCUAAGAGCUUUGCACACCUGGAUUGUACAAUAUUUGCCCAUUAUUCUUUAAACAAUUCUUUAAGCUCUGUCAAGUUGAUUGUUGAUCAUUAUUAGAUAACCAUAUUCAAGUCUUUCCAUAGAUCUUCAAGCCAAUUUAAGUCAAAACUGUAACUAGACCACUCAGGAAUAUUCAAUAUCUUCUUGGUAAGUAACUAAAGUGCAGAUUUGGCCUUGUGUUUUAGGUUAUUGUCCUUCUGAAAGGCGAAUUCAUCUCCUCAUUGUCUAUUGGAACACAGACUGAACCAGACUUUCCUCUGGGAUUUUGUCUGUGCUUAUAGCUGUCUACCGUGUAUUUUUAUCCUAAUAAUGCCCUAGUCCUUGCCAAUGACAUGAUGCAGCCACCGCCAUGUUUGAAAAUAUGAAGUGGUACUGAGUGAUGUGUUGUGUUGGAUUUGCCCAAAACAAAACGCUUUGUAUUCAGGACAAAAAGUUAAUUUCUUUGUCGAAAUGUUUUCAGUAUUACUUAAGUGCCUUGUUGCAAACAGGAUGCAUGUUUUGGAGUAUUUUUAUUCUGUACAGGCUUUCUUCUUUUAACUCUGUCAUUUAGGUUGGUGUUGUGGAGUAACUACAAUGUUGUUGAUCCAUCCUCCGUUGUUUACUCCCAUCACAGUCAUUAAACUCUGUAACUGUUUUAAGGUCAUUGGCUUCAUGGUGAAAAUCCCUGAGCGGUUUCCUUCCUCUCCGGCAACUGAGUUAGGAAGGACGUCUGUAUCUUUGUAGUGACUGGGUGUAUUGAUACACCAUCCAAAGCCUAAUUAUAACUUCACCUUGCUCAAAGUGAUAUUACACAUUUUACCCCUCUACCAUCCGGUGCCCUUCUUUGCAUUGAAAAAUCUCCUUGGUCUUUGUGGUUGAAUAUGUGUUUUGAAAUUCACUGCUUGAUUGAGGGACCUUACACUUAUCUGUAUGUGUGGGGGUACAGAGAUGAGGUAGUCAUUUAAACAUCAUGUUAAACACUAUUAUUGAACACUGAAUUUAUUUAGGCUUGACAUAAAGGGGUUGAAUACUUAUUGACUCAAGACAUUUCAGCUUAAAAUGUUUUAUUAAUUUAAACACGAUUAUACUAACAAAAUUCCACUUUGACAUUAUGGGGGUAUUGCGUGUCCUUCUGUAACUCAGUUGGUAGAGCAUGGCGCUUGUAACGCCAGGGUAGUGGGUUCGAUUCCCGGGACCACCCAUACGUAGAAUGUAUGCACACAUGACUGUAAGUCGCUUUGGAUAAAAGCGUCUGCUAAAUGGCAUAUAUUAUUAUUAUUAUAUUAUUACAUUGUAAAUUCAGGCUGUAAACCGUUUUAAAUUCAGGCUGUAAACCGUUUUAAAUUCAGGCUGUAAACCGUUUUAAAUUCAGGCUGUAAACCGUUUUAAAUUCAGGCUGUAAACCGUUUUAAAUUCAGGCUGUAAACCGUUUUAAAUUCAGGCUGUAAACCGUUUUAAAUUCAGGCUGUAAACCGUUUUAAAUUCAGUCUGUAACAACACAAUGUGGGAGGAGUUAAAAAGGUGUGAACCCUUUCUGAAGACCACUGUACAUACAACCGUUGCUAUGGGACCAAGAACAUUGCUACAGUACUGUGUUGUUUAUAGCACACUUAUUUAUACUGUAUCACACUGUAGAUAUAUGCCACUCAGAAAGCAUGCAGGACAUUAUUAAGGUCAUUACGGUAAGAUUAUAAAUUAACCAUAUGAAAUAAAGAUGAGAGGAAUAUUAAAACAGUGAUUUUACCACUGAGGAAGUCAUGUGGUUUGUAUGACUAAUUUGGACUAGAUAUAUACCUUAUUCAUCACUGACUCCAUCCAAUCUACGUCCCACAUAAAGUAUUCUAUUGUGGACCCUUGAAUUUCUACCCUACUCAGUGAUAUUCUGAUAUAACCAUGUAGUAUUUAAGUCCGGAACGACUGCCUGCCGCAGACAGACUAUCCUAAGGCUUUGUGAACUUCUGAGUGCUGUGCUUAAAUAUGCAAAAGAACAGGUUACUAUACAAUACAUUGUCCUGACUGACACUGCUGUAUCCAUCACUGAUAUCCAUUCACAUCUUAACAACUGCCAAAUACAUUACACUACUUUUUAUUUGGUCUGGAAAUGACUUUUGUAAAACUGUGUUGUCUGUCACCUUAAAAAAAAAAAAGACUUGAAAAGUGAUUAAAGAGUGGGUCCAGGGUGAAUGUCGGAUGGUGUUGUUGUGGUUAUAGUGAGCUGUUUGUCAAAUGGCAUCCUACUCGUCAUACUGUGUAGUGCACUACUUUUGACCAGGGCCCAUGAGCUCAGGGUCCAUAGGAUUAGGGCCCAUAGAGGUCAGGGUCCAUAGGGUUAGGGCCCAUAGAGGUCAGGGCCCAUAGGGUUAGGGCCCAUAGAGGUCAGGACCCAUAGAGCUCAGAGUCCUUAGGGUUAGGGCCCAUAGUGGUCAGGGCCCAUAGAGGUCAGGGCCCAUAGAGGUCAGGGCCCAUAGAGCUCAGAGUCCUUAGGGUUAGGGCCCAUAGAGGUUAGGGCCCAUAGAGGUCAGGGCCCAUAGGGUUAGGGCCCAUAGAGGUCAGGGCCCAUAGAGGUCAGGGCCCAUAGGGUUAGGGCCCAUAGAGGUCAGGGCCCAUAGAGGUCAGGGCCCAUAGGGUUAGGGCCCAUAGAGGUCAGGGCCCAUAGAGGUCAGGGCCCAUAGGGUUAGGGCCCAUAGAGGUCAGGGCUCAUGGAGCUCAGGGCCCAUGGAGCUCAGGGCCCAUAGGGGUUAGGGCCCAUAGAGGUAAGGGCCCAUAGGGUUAGGGCCCAUAGAGGUCAGGGCCCAUAACGCUCAGUUCCCAUAGAGGUCAGGGCCCAUAGGGUUAAGGCCCAUAGAGGUCAGGGUCCAUAGGGUUAGGGCACAUAGAGGUCAGGGCCCAUAACGCUCAGGGCCCAUAGAGGUCAGGGUCCAUAGGGUUAGGGCCCAUAGAGGUCAGGGUCCAUAGGGUUAGGGCCCAUAGAGGUCAGGGACCAUAGGGACAUGGCCCAUAGGGUCAGGGCCCAUAGAGGUCAGGGCCCAUAGGGUUAGGGCCCAUAGGGUUAGGGCCCAUAGAGGUUAGGGCCCAUAGAGGUCAGGGACCAUAGGGACAUGGCCCAUAGGGUCAGGGCCCAUAGAGGUCAGGACCCAUAGGGUUAGGGCCCAUAGGGUUCAGGUCAAAAGUAGUGCACUACAUGGGGAAUAAGUAGGGUGCCCCCUGGGGGACACAAUUCAUGUUGAAGUAGAUGUGGAUUCCUUCAGAGCUCUGGUCCUGUAUCUCUCCUGAGCCCUAAAAGCAACUCUGUUUUCUAUUGAAGUUUGUAAAAUAAGCGCUUUGAAAUAAAAGAACAAAAGAUAUCUCAUACUCUGGAAAUGUUUCAAAAUGCAAUUAUCCAUGAAAGAAAUCUUGCAUUACAUUACCCCAUUGAUUAAAGAUUAUAUUACUGAGAAUAUAUUUUUUUUCAUGUCAAUUGACUUCUUAACUUCGAAUGUUUCCCAAAUGGCACCCUAUUCUCUACAUAGGGCACUACUUUUGACUAGAGCACUAUGGCCCCUGUUUAAAAGUAGUGCACUUUGUAGGGAAUAGGGUGCCAUUUGGGUUGCUAACCAUUAAAUAAGCCUUGUGUUUUGAUUGUGUAACUGAAGGUCAGGGCUGCAGUUGAUCCCUGGACUAGUGGGUCUCAUCUUUACAAGCAUUUUGCUACUCUCGCAAUAAUCAUUUGCCAACCAUUUAUAUGUGACCAAUAAAAUUUGAUUUGAAAAUGU